GAACUUUCUGAAAUGUUGUGUGAACUGCCAUAACCAUUUGAUUGUUGUUCUUGAGGAAUUGUAACAUUAGUUCAUAAAUCUCAGUAAGCAGCUGUACUUAUCUCUGGGCUCUGGUAAAGUAGCUGUCUAUUCUUUAUAAAUAAUGUCCCCGCCCCCCCCCCCAAAAAAAUCAUUAAUUGAAAAGCCCAGUUAACAAAUGUGGAUAAUACUGUACAUUUAAACUUAUGGUAGAAGAUGAAUCUGAACCUGCAAAAGCAGGAGGAUAAUUCUCUAUGAACUAAAAUGGCUGUAGUUUUGAGAGAUCUGAUGAAAAAUUGUCACUGUCCCUUUGUGUAUAUUGUGCCAUUUUUUAUUUUAAAAAUUCUUAUUUUCCACAUGGAAAGUCUUGUUGUUCAUCUUCGCACAUCUCUUUUAUCCUGUGUAUCAUUAAUAAUAGUUAGGCUAUUUGUUCAAGGCAGCUACAGCUAUUUCUGAGCAUACCAAGUAAAACUGUGGUAGAGAGAUGCAAAAUCUGUUAAGACCAGUGCCCUACCAUUAGCCAAAUUGAGGAGUCCUCCUCAAGUGGCAGAUGCAAGGGAGGCAGCAGCAGCAGCAAACCAUUGGUUGUUCUUAUGCCGCUGCCCCACCAACCCCUUUCUUUUUGGAAGGUGGAGCUGCAUUGGCUGUGUGGUCUGUCCUGGCCCCUCUAAGCUAGCCUGCUCCCUCAGGAGCAGUGGAGGUAAGUAAAGGUAAAGGACCCCUGGAUGGUUAAGUCCAGUCAAAUGCGACUAUGGGGUUGCAGUUCACAUCUCGCUUUCAGGCCGAGGGAGCCAGUGUUUGUCCACAGACAGAUUUCCGGGUCAUGUGGCCAGCAUGACUAAACCGCUUCUGGCUCAACAGGACACUGUGAUGAAAACCAGAGCACACGGAAAUACCGUUUACCUUCCCAUCGCAGUGGUACCUAUUUAUCUAUUUGAGCUGGUGUGUUUUGGACCUGCUAGGUUGGCAGAAGCUGGGACAGAGCAACAGGAGCUCACCCCGUCACGGGGAUUUGAACCGCCUACCUUCCAGUUGGCAAGCCCAAGAGGCUCAGUGGUUUAGACCACAGUGCCACCUGCUCCCACAGUUGUGUAGGACACUUUGUCCUACACUGGGUAAUGUUGGUAGGGGUGUGUGUGUUCGCACAGCCCUGACACUCCAAAUUAUACUAUCCAUAUUGCUCCACAGCAAUAUAAGAAUCACAAUAUUUUUUUGGUUUCUUCAAAUUUCUGGGAAGUGCCUGCUAAUUCUAAAUACAUUCUUCAGAAUUCAGUAAUAUAAAGCGCUGUCAGAAAACACACACACACACACACACACACACACACACACACACACCAUACACUGCUUAUUUUAUUUUCCUUUUCUUUUAGGCACUGUGCUUCUGAUAUUUUCCUCAGUGGCAGAUAGACCAAGGAAUCACUCCAGAAUGUUUAGGAAAGCCCAUGGGAUCGUUUGUGCGCAUUUACACAUGAGAGCCUUUGGGCCCUGAUACGGCAAUAUGUUGCAUUUGGUGGUGCCUGUCAAGAGUUUCCUCCAGGCUAAGUGAGGCGCCUGGAAAUUUAAAAAAAAAAACACCAAAAAACACCAAUCCGUUUCUGCACAAGCAUGAGGAAUCAGCUUUGCAGCAAAUCUUUCAUGUUGCUUUGCUUAGUUAAAAAAUGUUGUGAUUCUGGUUAAAUUGUGACUGUACCAAGAAGGGCCAAUUUAUACCACCUGCAGUCUUGAUUAGAAGUUCUUUCCCCACCCACCAAAGCAUUAUAGUGCAGCUCACAGUUGCUUGCCCUGGGCAAAUGUGGAAAUAAAUGUGGAAGGCAAAUAAUAAAUAA
rnacentral:lncRNA from 1 species